rnacentral:sRNA from 1 species
UAAACCUAAAACAAUGAAAGCCCUUCCUCUCUUCCAUCCUUACGGCUCCUAGGCCGUGCCAGCGGGAAUCAGGUAUUACAAAAAUUA